UACGUAGGUCCCAAGCGUUAUCCGGAAUUACUGGGCGUAAAGCGUCUGUAGGCGGAUAUAUAAGUGAGAUAUAAAAUACCGAAGCUCAACUUCGUGUAAGUGUCUCAAACUGUAUAUCUAGAACAAGAGAGAGGAAAGCGGAAUUCUCGGAGUAGGGGUGCAAUCCGUAGACACCGAGAAGAACACCAAAAGCGAAGGCAGCUUUCUGGAACUUUGUUGACGCUGAGAGACGAAAGCGUGGGUAGCGAAAAGG
rnacentral:rRNA from 1 species